UACACCCGAGUACAAAUUGGAUCCAGAGCCCCCAAGUCCUACAGAGGUAGUAGGUAAGCCUUGCUAGUGCCAGGUUAUAAAUUGCAUGCAGCCACAAAACGCCUGAAAGGAUUUUUGACUUUCAAAAUAUGAUCCAGAGUCUCCAAUAGAUGCUGGAUGUGGCUGGAGAUGUGAAGAGGUGCUUCCUGGUCAUCAAGCCUUAACUCAUCCCAGCAUCAGCUCCAAAGUCCAGCCUAAUCUAAACAUCAUCUAACUCGGGGAUGGUGAAACUGGAGCUUUAACUCCUCCUGAGGCAAAUUCCUGUCCUGCUGUGAACCUGUGGAACCAGCAUGCACCGAACCUCAGUGUAAGAAGAGCAGCCCCACGUGCAGGGACAGUGCCAGGCUGCCAUGCGGGAGGCCAGUCAGCACCUGGAAGCUGUGCCUGCAAACCAUCCCCCCUGCAUUCAGACGGCACUGGGCGGGCAGCCACAUCAGGGUGCGUCCCUCACUGGGAUGGGCCUCUGCUGAAGGCUGCCCGCAGGUCACCAGGGGAUCAGAUGUGUGUUUGUACUCAGUUUCCCAAAGCCCCUCUAACUGGUCCCAUAUAAACACCAGUUUUCAAAGGCCCAGAAGAGCCAGAAUGUCUCCAAUGGAAGGGUGCCUUUGCACCCAGAGGCGGCUGAUGCGGGGGAAAGAAUCCCACCAUCCCAGCAUUGGUGGGUCAGGAGAGUAGAGCGCCCCUCUCCAUCUUACGGGAUGCACGUGACUGGCAGCACAGGGAAGCAGUUUGGUCCCCAGGCCUGGCAGACUGCAGUGUUUAAGUUCUGGCUUUGCCUCUUCCUAGCAGAGUGAUCCUGGGUUAAGUUUCUCAAUAUCUCUGUUUCAGUUGUCUCCCCUGAGAGAUGGGAGAUGAAAAUAAUUCCCAUCUCAUGGGGUGACGGUAAGAAUUUAAUGAAUUGAUUCAAGGAAAAUGUUUAUACUAGCUCCUGGCACACAGUAACUCCUCAAAAAAAAAAAAAAAAAGGUUAGCCAUUAGGGUGCACUCAUGAGACCAUGCCUGGCUAAUAUCUGACAGCCAAUCAGGAGUGAGGAGGCAAUGAAGAGGCGUGGUCAAGAGCAGGGGCUGCUGGGGGAACAGGUGUGGCUUGAGAUGGGGUGGCUCUGAGCCUCAGUUUCCUCAUUUGUAAAGUGGGAAUAACACAACCAAAUCCCUUCUUAUAAUAUCUGGUGGUAGGAAGUAUAAAAUAAAUCGUUACAACUACAUUUUUUAGAUGAGAAAACAGAGGCCCAAAGACCUUAGAAACCUACCUUAAGUUACCAGCGAGUACGUGUGAAAGCUGAGAUUUGAGUCAAGCCCCUUUGCCGUCAGAGUCAUGAGUCCACACUUCAAACAAAUUGUCGAAAAUAUAAUGUAUUCAUCCUUUUUAUUUUUCCAUUCGGGGCUAUGAACACGAUUAAGAUGACAUUUGCCAAGCAAGGGGCGAAAUUGCUCCUAAACCUAAUCUUCAGUGAAUUUUUUUUCUCUAUCCUCCUUUGAUUAACUAGCAACCUUUAAAGUAGAGCUUAUAUAAAAAGCCAUUCGAGCUGCCAUCUACCUAGACAUAACAGACUCUUCUGGGGGUGCAUGUCCGCUGGUGGCUGAUUAGGCUAAAGCUACAAUAUAUCCAAAUCCAUAGACUGGAAUGACAUCCCUAAAAUCAAGAGGUAACAAAC